rnacentral:rRNA from 1 species
GGAUAAGAAAGCAGAUCGCAUGAUCAGCUUUUAAAAAAGGCGGCGUAAGCUGUCGCUAUGGGAUGGCCCGCGGUGCAUUAGCUAGUUGGUAAGGUAAAGGCUUACCAAGGCGAUGAUGCAUAGCCCGAGUUGAGAGACUGAUCGGGCCACAUUGGGGACUGAGACACGGGGCCCAAACUCCUACGGGGGGAGGGGCAGCAGUAGGGGGAAUCUUCCACAAUGGACGCAAGUCUGAUGGAGCAACGCCGCGUGAGUGAAGUAAGGUUUUCGGAUCGUAAAGCUCUGUUGUUGGUGAAGAAGGAUAGAGGUAGUAACUGGCCUUUAUUUGACGGUAAUCAACCAGAAAGUCACGGCUAACUACGUGCCAGCAGCCGCGGUAAU